GCUUUCUGAAUGAAACUGAUACCAAAUUGAUACAAAUGUUUUGGCUUUGAUGAACUAGCUGGCAUCCAGCUUAACAAACAGAUACAAAUUGAAUGAAACAAAAACAAUUUAUAUUAGACAAAAGGUUGCUAAUAAAAACCUUCAGAGCUCAAAUGAGCCACUGAACCCAAGGAUGCCGGUGAACAUCAUCAUCAAAGGCUAACAUGCUAACAUUUUUCACAAAGUCGCAGAAGAUCUUUUCUUCACCAAUCAUGACAUACCAAGCACACGGAUUGAGUCAUCAUCAAGUCAUCAAGGCAAUGGAUCGAUGAAACCAUGGUCGAGCUGAGGAUCAAUUGCAACUCGAAAGAGUGGAACAUCUUCAGGUCCAAAAUCCUCUCCAGAGCACAGAUAGAAAUAGUAUUAAAGAAAAAGCAGAGCUUUGCUAAAGAAAAUAUGAAACUAUAAGUAAUCAGACUAGCCAAUAUUUCAUAUGACAAAAAAUAUAAAGCAUUUGGACACAGUUACUUGGACAUAUUGUCCCUGGUCAUCAGAACAUCAGCUCUAAAAAAAGCCUUUCCACGAAGGUGACAAAGCUACAUUUCAAACAGAGGUAAUAAUUAUAAGAAAAAUUAAGCUACAGCAGAUCCAAAAAAGGACAUAUUGGAUAACAUAUAUAUAGAUGCAGACAAGAGAAAUAAAAUUAACAUGCAAAAGGCAAAAUUAACAGCUCAACAAAUUUUUUCUAUAGUUAGUCAGAUAAUAAAAUUAUUUCUAGCUGUGAGAAACCCCUGAAAUGCAAAAAUACUCUUCAGAUUUCAAAAUUAAAAAUUCCAACUCAUUUACAUGACAUAUUUAACAAUUGACAGGCACUAAAGCACUGUAAAUUAAUGAAAUUUAAAUUGUAAAUGUUAUAGCACACUAAAUUAGACUCAGUAUUAUGUUUGUUGAUAUCUAUCUGAUGCAAAUAAACAAAUGAACAGAUUGGAUAACAGAUAUAUUGAUGCAGAUAAUAGACACAAAUGAACAUGCAAAUGGCAAAUUUAACAGCUUAAUGAAUUUUUUCUAUAGUCAGUAAGAUAACGAAUUUAUUUCACAAAGUGAGUAACCUCUCAUAUGCAAACACAACUAUCAGAUUUCUAAAAAUGGAAAAAUUCAAUCUCAUUUGCAUGAUAUAAUAAUACAAAUUAUAGUAACUGAACAACUGUCAAUAAAAAUAGCUUAAACUGUAAAAUGUUUAAGCAAGCAUAGUUAGGCCCAGUACAUAUGAAACUGAUAUGUAACUGAUUAAGAUAAAGGAAACAUACAAAAUUAAAGUCAGCUUUUGAGUUUCUAUAAGCAGUGAACUAACAAAUAUAUUCAUGUAUAGUUAGUAAUCC
rnacentral:lncRNA from 1 species